UGAACGCUAGCGGCAGGCCUAACACAUGCAAGUCGAGGGGUAACAGAGAGAAGCUUGCUUUUCUGCUGACGACCGGCGCACGGGUGAGUAACGCGUAUACAAUCUGCCUUAUACAGAGGGAUAGCCUUUAGAAAUGAAGAUUAAUACCUUAUAGUCUAUUUUUAUAGCAUUAUAUAAAUAGUAAAGCUUCGGUGGUAUAAGAUGAGUAUGCGUCCUAUUAGUUAGUUGGUAAGGUAACGGCUUACCAAGACAACGAUAGGUAGGGGCCCUGAGAGGGGGAUCCCCCACACUGGUACUGAGACACGGACCAGACUCCUACGGGAGGCAGCAGUGAGGAAUAUUGGACAAUGGAGGCAACUCUGAUCCAGCCAUGCCGCGUGCAGGAAGACGGCCCUAUGGGUUGUAAACUGCUUUUAUAUAGGAAGAAACCUUUUCACGUGUGAGAAGCUGACGGUACUAUAAGAAUAAGGACCGGCUA
rnacentral:rRNA from 1 species